GCCCCACCUGACCUUCCUCAUCCUCCUCUCUCCACCUUCCUGCUGCAGCCUGGCAGAGCUGCUCUGUCCAGCUGCCAUUCAUCACUAAUCACUCAUCAGUGGAACUCUGGGCAGCUGUGGUGCAGCACACCUGUGAUCCAUCCACGCCAUAAAAGCCGGCCUCACACUCCACACCCUGCCAGAUAGUAAACUCUGCUCCAGCAGUCAGUUCUGCUGUCCCAGCUGCCCGGUUCUGCCAAUCCUGCUUCCUGAAACCAGCCUUCGGAUCUCCCCGACCAGGCCCUCGGGACUCUCCCCCCUCCUGCCCCUGGAUUUCCCUGCCUGCCGAGCUCCCCAGCUCCUUGGAACAUCCUGCCUACCUACCUACCUACCUACCCCUCUGGAACGGGACACACCUGUCCGCUCUCCGCUGCUGACCAGCACCCGAACAGAGGUCGCCUGUCAGGCCGCCGGUUCCCGGUACCGUCACCCCCACCUUCCUCUGUUCAUACAUUGCCUCAGUUACCCUGGACUCUAGUUUCUCCCCACCUAGGCCUCAUUAGUAUUCUACCUUUGUUAUCAAUAAAUCCACCUUUGUUCCUGCCUCA